rnacentral:pre_miRNA from 1 species
GUUGUAGUCCCUCCGUCUGGAAAUACUUGUCAUUGAAAUGGAUGUAUCUAGAUGUAUUUUAGUUCUAGAUACAUUUAUUUUCAUCCAUUUUGAUGACAAGUAAUUCCGGAUGGAGGAAGUAGAAU